GAAACCGUAUCGUCCAUGAGGAAAACUCUUAUAAUGAACUGCCUGUCUUGAUUAGCCGGUACGUUCGAUAUCAUUUGCGCUCUGAAUCUCAAAACGUAGCUGUCCAAGCCCUGUCUAAGGAAGAGGAAAAGAGGAAGAAAAGGUGGCUGCGGUAUCACCCUGAAACAGUUGCCGAGGGAAUCUUCGUAGGACCCAAAACCAUUGUAGGGUGGAAUGUAUCUCUCCACUUUCACGCAAAUCUCGCCAACAUUUCGAGGUCUUUCCAUGGGCGUGAAGUCAUCCAGGCCGUAUUUUUUCCUUUGAUGCGAUACAAGGAACAUUUUUUUACGUGACACAUUCUUUUCUACGCUUUCUACUGUUCAAUGGAUCUAUCGUGUAAUAACCAUGGGAUGUAUCGUCUCCCAUGACGUUCAAGACGGUAAAAGCGUUCCCUGUUCCGAUCGAGCCCAUUUCCGAGAAGAUCUACAUUCGAAUGCCCGUCCAUUAAUCCCUUGAGUUACAAGUCUUGCUAAACUAAAUUCCAUUAUAAAUAGCGUAUAAAAGCAGCGAGUCACUGCCUGCAAUCUUUGGGAACUUGCAUACGUCGCAAAAACGUGGAACCGGAAUCUCGUCCGGAAUUCGACGGCAGAUUUUCUUUGAUCUCUAUCGUGUUGUCAGCUAGUAUCGAAGAGAAUGCACCGUUGAACCUUGCUCAAGUCCACUAUUGUCCACGGAAGGCUCAGAAAUUUUCAUCGUUCCAUCCUCCAAAAAGAAGCUGAUAUUUACCACGCGUAUUUGUUUUCUAGAUAAAUGAUCGUACUUGGCCAUCAUAGGCAAUCCAAGGAGGCAGUUCUUGAACUUCCCCGCGAGCAUAAAUUGACGGAUAACGAAUUGGAUCGCUUUUAUCAAACUUUUCCGAUAAAUAAUAAACUCCAUCGUGAAUUUUAGUAAAGUAUUGAUUCCUCGCAAAGUUUGUUCGAUCAAGCUAAACAAGGAGAUACAUCAAGCGUUUUUUGUAUUAUAUAUAAUGAAUUAAGUGCGUAUGUUCUAUGCUCAUCAAUAAUGUAAAAUUAUUUCAUGAAAUUCUAUGUCGUAGCCAAUGCAUAUAUCGGUUAAUUAAACACAAAGUGUCAUGAGACCGUAAAAGAAAAAUGACUUACGUUUUUAUCGAAACUAAACCCUGGUAGACAUGGAAGCAUAAGAUCACGCUGCAUUUUACUGCCGAUGAAAAUUGGAUUAAUAAAUAUGAUACAUUUGAAGAGUUUGUAGCCGAUUUACGGAGAAACACUUUACGUAUCUGAUAUCGACGUAAGAAUACGCGUCACUGCUAUUUGCUAUUGUUGCGUUUCCUUGGAGAUACUUCAGUUGAUUUCAUCAGGAGAAAAGAAGAACUUCGAGGUACUUGCAGCUUUAAUAUAUAUAUAUAUAUAUUUAAUUUUAUUAUCAUCAACAAUUUGCAAUAUUGCACUGGUAAUAUCCUAUACCAGUAUAUGCAGAAACAUAAAUUUAUAUAAUAUAUAGCAAUAUACAAUAUAGCAAAAACUCUGGUAUAAAUAUAAUAACACGUAUAUAUUAUAUAUUAGUUUGAUUCGUAACAACCUAUGUUAGUGAUAAAUUUUGAACGAUACUGCUGACUAUAAUUUGUUAUUAAUUUUAUUACUUAAGAGCAUGAUGUACAGAUCAUGAUACUAUUUAAUUGGUAACUCGUUAUUCAAAUGAUAUAAAUGCAUCAAUGGUAAAUAAAUCACAAGUAUGUAGUAAAUGAGGUAAUAGAUUCAAUAAGUUAAGCGUAAUAAAAGCAAGAUCAUACAUUCAUUGAUCAAACAUAAUUUGAAACACCCUAUUAAUAAACCUCUGUGCAAAAAGAUUAAGUCAUGUUUAAUGAAUAACAGAUGUUAUAUUAUGCGUAUA